rnacentral:rRNA from 1 species
UACAGAGGUGGCAAGCGUUGUUCGGAAUUACUGGGCGUAAAGGGCGCGUAGGCGGCCAUCUAAGUCAGACGUGAAAUCCCCCGGCUUAACCUGGGAACUGCGUCUGAUACUGGACGGCUUGAGUAUGGGAGAGGGAUGUAGAAUUCCAGGUGUAGCGGUGAAAUGCGUAGAUAUCUGGAGGAAUACCGGUGGCGAAGGCAGCUCGCUGGGACGGUACUGACGCUGAGACGCGAAAGCGUGGGGAGCAAACAGG